CCCUUAGAUGUCCUGGGCCGCACGCGCGCUACACUGAGUGUCUGAGAUACGAGUCUGCCUGGUCCGGCAAGGUCUAGGUAAUCGCUAAAAGACACAUCAUGCUUGGGAUAGAUUAUUGCAAAUAUUAAUCUUGAACGAGGAAUUCCUAGUAAGCGCAAGUCAGCAGCUUGCGUUGAUUACGUCCCUGCCCUUUGUACACACCGCCCGUCGCUACUACUGAUUGGAUGUUUAAGCGAGGUUCUCGAACUGCUAGCGACUUAGCUUCGGUGAGGUCGCAGUGUGGGAAGUGAACCUAGCUUUGGUGUCUAGAGGAAGUAAAAGUCGUAACA
rnacentral:rRNA from 1 species